rnacentral:rRNA from 1 species
GACGAACGCUGGCGGCGUGCUUAACACAUGCAAGUCGAACGGUAUCAUCUGAGUAGUAAUACGAAGGUGGUAUAGUGGCGGACGGGUGAGUAACGCGUGAGCAAUCUGCCCAUAAGAGGGGGAUAACACCGGGAAACCGGUGCUAAUACCGCAUAAGACCACACUUCUGCAUAGGAGAGGGGUCAAAGGAGAAAUCCGCUUAUGGAUGGGCUCGCGUCCCAUUAGCUAGUUGGUGAGGUAACGGCUCACCAAGGCUGCGAUGGGUAGCCGACCUGAGAGGGUGAUCGGCCACACUGGAACUGAGACACGGUCCAGACUCCUACGGGAGGCUG